UUAGCUGAUAACAAAGUAAUUGCCCGUGACAUGCAUACAGAGUGUUGUUCAGAAAAGAAAGAAGAAGAAGAAGAAGAAGCAGCAGCUUAGCAGCACCUGGUCCAUAAGGACCAUAACACAUGAGCUACAGCCUCGUGUGGCUAAUUGUCAUUGGCAUCGACAAGGUGAAAAAAUACAUUCUCAACGACACAUUAUUCAG
rnacentral:lncRNA from 1 species